rnacentral:rRNA from 1 species
AAUCAACGCUGGCGGCGUGCCUAACACAUGCAAGUCGAACGCGAAAGCUCCGCAAGGGGCAAGUAGAGUGGCAAACGGGUGAGUAACACGUGGGUGACCUGCCUUCGAGCGGGGGAGUAACGUCCCGAACGGGACGCUAAUACCGCAUGACAUCCUGCCUUUGUAAGAGGUGGAGAUCAAAGCUGGGGAGUCGCAAGACCUAGCACUCGAAGAGGGGCCCGCGCCUGAUUAGCUAGUUGGUGGGGUAACGGCUCACCAAGGCGACGAUCAGUAGCCGGCCUGAGAGGGCGGACGGCCACACUGGGACUGAGACACCGGGCCCAGACUCCUACGGGGAGGCAGCAGUGGGGAAUUGUUCGCAAUGGGCGCAAGCCUGACGACGCAACGCCGCGUGGAGGACG